rnacentral:tRNA from 1 species
AGCCCCGUGGUGUAGUGGCCAAGCAUCCGGGCCUUUGGAGCCCGGGACGAGAGUUCGAAUCUCUCCGGGGCUA